rnacentral:rRNA from 1 species
UACGUAGGGUGCGAGCGUUGUCCGGAAUUAUUGGGCGUAAAGAGCUCGUAGGCGGCUUGGCAAGUCGGGUGUGAAACCUCCAGGCUCAACCUGGAGACGCCACUCGAUACUGCUAUGGCUAGAGUCCGGUAGGGGACCACGGAAUUCCUGGUGUAGCGGUGAAAUGCGCAGAGUAAUCGAGGAGGAACACCGGUGGCGAAGGCGGUGGUCUGGGCCGGCACUGGACGCUGAGGAGCGAAAGCGUGGGUAGCAAACAGG